rnacentral:rRNA from 1 species
UGCGUAGGCGGCCCGGAAAGUUGGGUGUGAAAGCCCUCGGCUUAACCGAGGAAUGGCGCCCAAAACUACCGGGCUUGAGGGAGAUAGAGGUGAGCGGAACUUAGGGUGGAGCGGUGAAAUGCGUUGAUAUCCUAAGGAACACCAGUAGCGAAAGCGGCUCACUGGGUCUCUUCUGACGCUGAGGCACGAAAGCUAGGGGAGCGAAGAGGAUUAGAUACCCUCGUAGUCCUAGCCUUAAACGAUGGGCACUGGUUUGGAGGGUCCUCCAUAGCCCUCCAGACGUAGCGAAAGUGUUAAGUGCUCCGCCUGGGGAGUAUGGUCGCAAGGCUGAA